CUCCCCUUCAUAUGGUGCAGCAUGCUACAGAGAUGGAGGGCACCCAUAAAUACGUCUUAGAGAAAAAAACCAAAUUGCCAGGUCAUCGUUCUGUACACAGUAAGGGACAUACUACUUCUCCUAAAUCCAAACAUCAAAAACAGCUCAAGGAUGACAGAGGGGCCCCCAAACCCUCAAAGUCAGUUCCACAGAAUGGAUCCAGACCGCAGAUACCUUUACAUAGAGGACAUUCUCCAAGCAAAGGAAGGGUCAAAACUCAACCCCGACAUAAAGAGACUCAUUCAAAGCCACAUCAACCCAAGUAUUCCAAGGAGUUCCAAAAAUCUUUCGGCUCUCAGAAAUCUCUAAUUAAGCAAAUGUCAACUAUAGAAACCCCCUAAAAAGUCUUCUCCAGGCCUUCCCAAAUUGAUAUUCCCCAAUCUCCACUAAUCUACCUACCACCUCUACCUUUUGUUUGUUGUUACUGUGAUCUGAUUGUCUUAAGCCAUACCCCAUCGUCGCUCUGGUGAAUUCAAACUACGGCCCUCAAGACUGGACUCGGAGCUUGCAAUCAAUCCACGGUCUUUCCUCCCCAAUAACCGGAAGAAAAAAGGAAGGAAGGAAGAAAGGAAGGCAUCAGAGAAGGAUGUUAAUGAAGGCAUCCAGGAGAACGCAAUCCUUCGAUAUAGUAGUUACACCAAGAGGAAGAACAUUUUCCACCACAGCUCUGACUUGUCAUUUCAAAUUCAGUUUUAGAAGUUCACUGGACAUUAGAUGGAUGUUAGACUGUCCUGAAAGGCCUGAUUUCUUUGCUAUUUUUUUCCUUACUCUAUUACAUCCAAUAAACCUUAGGCUGUUCCAAAGUACAA